UGGGAAAACACAUGUGGACCUGAAUUGUGAUAACUGCAGUGGCCAAAGCAAAAACAAGUUUGUGCUCUGGUAUUGUACCUGGUGGACCAUGCACAAGCUCAACCAAAAUCUGGAUCUUCACUUCCUGAUCACAGACCACACCAAGUUUGCCCCUGACUUGUGCUUCGGCCUCAUCAAGCGGUUCAGAAAGACCAGAGUGAACACUUUUUCUGAGAUUGGUGGUGUUGUGAAGGACAGCGCUGUGACAGGGGUCAACAUCUCACAGCUGGUUGGUCUGCUGGAGGAAAGCUAUGACUGGCAACAACACCUGACUCCGUACUUCAGGCCACUGCCUCAGAUAAAGCAGUACCAGCACUUCUGCUUCAAUGCUCCGGAGCCUGGUGUUGUCGCCAAGGAGCGUUCAGACUGUCAGGACCAGGUUUCAGCUGCUGCGCAACGCUGACAUCCUUCCUCCAUAGAUUGUCUGCCUGUAAAAGAACCACCUGGACUGGACACAGCUAGACAAACUAUAUUUUUGACAAGAUCAGGGAGUUUUGCGACCAAGAGGCUAUGGACAUCACGUGCCCUGAACCAAAGUCAAGGGCAGGAUAGAAACAGGCUCUCUGAAUAUAGAUUCCCUUGUUCAUGCAUGGUUUGGACGGACCAGUCAUCAGCACUAUCUGCAGUGCCUCUAUUCACAUGACUCUCUCCUAAAAACGCACGCCAUACGUUGCUGCUAUUUUUUUUAUCCUACUGCUCAGCCACUACACCCCUGAUUGUAUGAUUAUAACUACCUCGUGUAUCACUGAUAUUGUUGUUGAUAGUGUUCUUGUACAUACUGUAUAUUUUAUUUAUAUUGACACUAUCUAUUUCUGAUAUUGCUACUAUGCAAGUAACCAUUUGGCUGUACCAUUUACACCUUCUGUAGAGACCAUCCACUUAGCAAAAUAUUGAUAUAUAAAAUGAAUAUUGAUAUGUUUGGUCAUAACAUGAUUUUGUGAAAUACCACAACAAUACAAUGUGACCGUCUCAAGUGUCCGCCACUUAAAUAUAUGGCGCAUGCAUCUGUUUAUGUGCAUCUGUUUAUGUGCAUCUGUUUAUGUGCACCACACUCGGGUUUCAACUCAGUUUGCAUGGCUUUCACUUAAGCAUGGAAUACUAUGUGAAAAGUGCAUGUGUAACAGUAUAUAAAGUUUGCCAA
ensembl:lncRNA